rnacentral:lncRNA from 1 species
UGAUUCCCAAACCUGUUCUAUUUGCAAUCGUUGCAUCAUGGAAUUAAACUGUUCUUGAAUGCUUUGCAGUAGAGUUUCUAGUAAAUUAUACUGUCACCCUGUUCUGGUUAUAGGAACCGAAAUAUGCAUGAUAAUGUGUUGUUCAGGAACCCAACAUAUUUCUUCUCUUUUAGGCCAGGAAAAGGAGCGAGCCGGUCCAGAAGGGCUCAUGAAUUUGAUUUCUGCAUCAUUUUGUUCAAUAGAAACUUGACGUAUGUUGCCGAUGUACCAGUGGUUAUCAUAGAUGCAGGCAAUGUAUUGACCAGGAUUAAGACUCUGAAUUGGUGUGACAGGACCUGCUUCAGAUUGAUCAACUGUGGCAACAAAAGAGGUUGUGUCAUUUGACACCCUGCUAACUUGAAUAUGCUUGGAAUCGAUAGGCAAAAAAUGGUGAUUUUCUUGUGUUCCAGCAACUGUGUGACCAUUUUCAAAUCAAUUUUCUUGUAGAAUCCUUUCAGCUUCUACUUCUUCGCUGGAGACGUAAAUGAAAUGGAUUCCUUGUACUUCUUGAUGACGAAAGUUGAAUAAAGCUUUGGUUGUUAAAAUUUGAUUUUCUGCAGUUCGUUGAAGGCUGGCUCUUGCUGCUAACCACUUAGCUGUUCCUCCAAUUCCAUCACAUGGAAAUUUUCCAUAGCUUGAUGAUUGCUUUUCUUGGCCACCUUUAUAAUAUGUAGUUGUGAAAUUGCACCAUCAUAUUGCUGCGAGUCAUUUUUUACA